rnacentral:miRNA from 1 species
GGUUUCCUUCCGGUCGAUGAGGUAGAUGUACCUCAUCAAUUGGAAGGGGUUCCUUCCGGUCGAUGAGGUACAUGUACCUCGUUGACCGGAAGGAAACC